rnacentral:RNase_P_RNA from 1 species
GCAGAAGAGAGGUCUGUCGCUUCAUGCCGGGUGCAUGAAGAGGAAAGUCCGGGCAACGCAGAGCACCAUACUUGGUAACGUCAAGCCGGCGGCAACGUCGGGGUAAAUGUGACAGAAAACAACCGCCUGUCAGAUCGCAGACUUGCAGGUAAGGGUGAAAAGGUGGAGUAAGAGCCCACCGGAUGCCGUGGUGACACGACAUGCCGCACAUCCUAUGGGUUGCAAGGCCAAAUACACCGGCAACUAAGGGCUGCUCGUCCAUUGCCGGGGGGUAGGCUGCUCGGCGCUUCGGCGUCGGAGCCAUCUGGCGACAGAUGGUCAAGAUAAAUGACAGACAGGAUUUUUCUUGCACAAGAAAAUUCCUACAUAACCCGGCUUAUAUCUCUUCUGCACUU